UGCUUUUAUAUAUUCAAUUAAUUAAAGUGCUGAAAAGUAAAUUCCUAAUAAGAUUGUCAUUAAAAGUCUGAUAGUUCUUUCUUUAUAAUUAUUAUUUAAUAUAGCAUGAUGAGAUCAUGUAACAGUUGGGCCAGAAGAAACUAGAAUGAUAGUGUUUAAUAAAGGGAUAUCAAAAGGAUUAAAGGGAAUGAUACCUAGAGGGGGUCAUGAUUGUUCAAUUUCUAUGGUGAUAAAGAUGAGUGAAAAUAAGCUGGUUGGUACAUUCGAGGUUUGGAAGCGUAACUGCAAUUUUUCAAUUAAUCGGCAUUUGGCUACAAGGCUGAUGAGUGAAAUAAAGUGAUUGUUCGUAUAUCAGCAUGAAACUGCACUAACUCUAAUUUUUUACACAGUGCAUUGGACAAUUGUCGCGGUAACUUCGUAUUAAUUAUGUUUUUGGCUAUGCAGUCGAUUAACGACUUGGCGUAAAGUUGCAGCGCUAUAUAACCUAAAUUUUUCGCAAAGUACAUCGAGAAAGUGUCAUACGAGUAUUGUCGCAUUUUGCAUUAUUCAAGGACAAUAUUCAUUUGGAUGCUCCACUUGUACUCCACGACUUUGAUUUCGCAUCUUUCGGCAAGCAGCUCCUCGGAAUCAGGAUGUGGCAGGGACAUCGCAGGAUCAUGUCGCAAGCGUUCGAUUGAUCGAAGGACCGGAACUCCAGCAGAGGAUAUACACGAAACACGCGAGUUUCCAGACGACGCAACCAGACAGCCGGCAGAUGCGCAAAACAAUUGUUCGCCGUAACGUAUUUUACAAGAAAACGUUCAC